GACGAACGCUGGCGGCGUGCUUAACACAUGCAAGUCGAACGAUGAAGCCGGAGCUUGCUCCGGUGAAUUAGUGGCGAACGGGUGAGUAACACGUGAGUAACCUGCCCUUGACUCUGGGAUUACUGCUAGAAAUGGUAGCUAAUACCGGAUACGACCCUCGGAGGCAUCUCCAGGGGGUGGAAAGAAUUUCGGUCAAGGAUGGACUCGCGGCCUAUCAGCUAGUUGGUGAGGUAAUGGCUCACCAAGGCGACGACGGGUAGCCGGCCUGAGAGGGUGACCGGCCACACGGGGACUGAGACACGGCCCAGACUCCUACGGGAGGCAGCAGUGGGGAAUAUUGCACAAUGGGCGCAAGCCUGAUGCAGCAACGCCGCGUGAGGGAUGACGGCCUUCGGGUUGUAAACCUCUUUUAGUAGGGAAGAAGCGAAAGUGACGGUACCUGCAGAAAAAGCACCGGCUAACUACGUGCCAGCCGCCGCGGUAA
rnacentral:rRNA from 1 species